GCUACCGAGCUCAGUUGGUUAGAGCACAUCACUCAUAAUGAUGGGGUCACAGGUUCGAAUCCCGUCGGAGCC
rnacentral:tRNA from 1 species